GCUCGCCUAGCUCAAUCGGAUAGAGCGUAAGACUUUUACGGCGGUGUAACUGUUCUGAAGGCUGCGAGUUCGACCCUCGCAGAGGGCU